rnacentral:rRNA from 1 species
GACGAACCGUGCAAACGUUAUUCGGAAUCACUGGGCAUAAAGGGCGCGUAGGCGGCUUUCUAAGUCAGGGGUGAAAUCCGGCAGCUCAACUGUCGCAGUGCCUUUGAUACUGGAGAGCUCGAGGGAGGUAGGGGUCUGUGGAACUUCCGGUGGAGCGGUGAAAUGCGUUGAUAUCGGAAGGAACGCCGGUGGCGAAAGCGACGGACUGGAUCUCUUCUGACGCUGAGGCACGAAGGCCAGGGGAGCAAACGGGG